rnacentral:tRNA from 1 species
GAGUGUAUAGCUUAGUACGGUAAAAGCGGUAAAUUUUUAAUUUAUAGAUCUUAGGUUCAAAUCCUAAUACACUCA